UGCAGUCGUACGCUUCUUUUUCCACCGGAGCUUGCUCCACCGGAAAAAGAGGAGUGGCGAACGGGUGAGUAACACGUGGGUAACCUGCCCAUCAGAAGGGGAUAACACUUGGAAACAGGUGCUAAUACCGUAUAACAAUCGAAACCGCAUGGUUUUGAUUUGAAAGGCGCUUUCGGGUGUCGCUGAUGGAUGGACCCGCGGUGCAUUAGCUAGUUGGUGAGGUAACGGCUCACCAAGGCCACGAUGCAUAGCCGACCUGAGAGGGUGAUCGGCCACAUUGGGACUGAGACACGGCCCAAACUCCUACGGGAGGCAGCAGUAGGGAAUCUUCGGCAAUGGACGAAAGUCUGACCGAGCAACGCCGCGUGAGUGAAGAAGGUUUUCGGAUCGUAAAACUCUGUUGUUAGAGAAGAAUAAGGAUGAGAGUAACUGUUCAUCCCUUGACGGUAUCUAACCAGAAAGCCACGGCUAACUACGUGCCAGCAGCCGCGGUAAUACGUAGGUGGCAAGCGUUGUCCGGAUUUAUUGGGCGUAAAGCGAGCGCAGGCGGUUUCUUAAGUCUGAUGUGAAAGCCCCCGGCUCAACCGGGGAGGGUCAUUGGAAACUGGGAGACUUGAGUGCAGAAGAGGAGAGUGGAAUUCCAUGUGUAGCGGUGAAAUGCGUAGAUAUAUGGAGGAACACCAGUGGCGAAGGCGGCUCUCUGGUCUGUAACUGACGCUGAGGCUCGAAAGCGUGGGGAGCAAACAGGAUUAGAUACCCUGGUAGUCCACGCCGUAAACGAUGAGUGCUAAGUGUUGGAGGGUUUCCGCCCUUCAGUGCUGCAGCUAACGCAUUAAGCACUCCGCCUGGGGAGUACGACCGCAAGGU
rnacentral:rRNA from 1 species